UCUCCGUUGGUGAACCAGCGGAGGGAUCAUUACCGAGUUUACAACUCCCAAACCCCUGUGAACAUGCCUAUCGUUGCCUCGGCGGUGCCCGCUCCGGCGGCCCGCCAGAGGACCCCAAACUCUUGUUUUAUACAGUAUCUUCUGAGUAACACGAUUAAAUAAAUCAAAACUUUCAACAACGGAUCUCUUGGUUCUG
rnacentral:misc_RNA from 1 species